UUUUUUUUUUUUUUGUCUUUUUGCCUUUUCUUGGGCUGCUCCAGAGGCAUAUGGAGGUUCCCAGAAAUGGUAAAAAGACAAAAAAUAAAAAAAUAAAAUAAAUUAAAAAAAAAUCACAUCUUGGAGUUCCCUGGAGAUGCAGUGGGUUCAAGAUCUGGCACUGUCACUGCAGCUGUUGGGUCAUACUGUGGGCAUGGCCAAAAAAUUGUUUUAAGGUGAGACAAGAAAAAUGUAAACGGAAAACUUUUUCUCUGCCCCUUGGCCUGCUUGCUGACGUGCCCUGCACACCUGCAUCAUGCAUUCAACAAUUGUGCUGGCGUAUGGGUGACUUCACAGUGUCGCGAGUUUCCGUGACCCACAUGUGUGCGUGGAUCCACUCUUUCUCCCAGAAUGUUGAGUAGAGCCCCCUGUGCUCCGCAGCAGGUUCCUGUUAAUCAUCUACUUUGUGUUCAGCCGUGUGUGUGUGUUAUUUCUGCCCCCCUAACUUACCCCCCCCAGGUCACCAUAACACGAUGUGCAGUAACGAGACCGCCUCCAGGACGGAAAUACCUGCUCUUCCACAAACCCCCUUUCCUCCCGACGCCAGCCACACUGCCCCUCGGAGGACGGCAUCCUUUCUCGGUCCUGCAAGGGGUCACCUGACCCACCCCUUGCCUGCCUGUACCUGCAGGGGUCUUUGGUGAACGUUGCCUAUGAUGCCAACACAUCGUUUCCGUAGAGAUCACAGCUGGUGCACAGCAGACUGGGGGCGGGGGGCGGAUCCCGGGCCGCGCCUCGGUCCUUGCGCCUCGUGGACAUGCUUGGCCUCGGUGCGUGUUUACGACCAUGUGAGUGUCACUAGCUCGUGUGCUGCCUGUUGCCCAGGAUUCUUGGGUGCCUGAGCUUCCGAUAAAUGCACGAGGAUCGGGAGACUUCCAGGGAGGGACCCCAGACGGAUCUGUAAGAUCCGAGACGGCAGGCGCCUCACACUCAACGUGAGAAGAAGCAACGAGAGGGAAGGGUGGCAGAUGAGGCCUGAUGAGGCAGACGGGUGGCCCGGGCCUCAGGUUCCUGUGAACGAGGCCCGGUUCAGUCCUAGCACAAGCGGUGGCCUGUUCACGAGACCCUCCCCGACCCAGGAAGGAGCAUGCUGAGCCCCGGGGACAAACUGGGUGUGAACUGCCCCCUAAAGCUUGGGUGAAAUUAAGGCUGAAAAGGAAGGGGUUUGACGACAAAAAAUGUUGGCCACCGCCCAGUUCUGUAGGAACCGAGCGAGUCACCGGUCCUGGGCCCGGCCCGACGGCUAAGACCGCCUGAGAGGAAUCCAGGGCCCGGGUCAGGAGGGAGGCCCUCUGUGCUUGGGGGAACUGGCAGAAGAGUCCCUCAGAGAGUCAGGUAUCCUCAGGAGGAGAUCUCGAGGAACCAACUUCUUGCCUCUGCCCACAUACGGAAGAGCACUGAGAGGCCUGCUCCCCACGACCCGCAGCGAUCUUUCCACUGAGAGGGCGCUGGGCCGCCCGUACCACCUCCAGGACCCCAUCUCCCCGGCUCCCCCUCUUUGGAACCCCUCUCAGAACCUCCCCGAGAGGCUGUCUCCUGCUCUAUAAUCGCCAGGUUGGCCCGAAGAAAAGGAUUCCUUUCUUUCUCGGAUGGACUGACUCAUUCUGACACCAACACAGCCACCCGGGUGUGACCAACGCAGCCCAUAAAACCAAAGGAGCCCCGUCGCCAACCCCCAAGAGCACCAAGGGGACGGGCCAUCAGACCUCAAAGUAAGAAAGCAAGAGAGGUGAGAACAGGCAGCGCUUGAAAGAGAACCGCGAAAAGGUGCCCCAGGGCGCGGAAAACGGGGAGUGGAUGUUCACAGCCCGGUGUUCCUCCGCGCACGAGCAGAUAAACAAACUGUAGCGCACACAUGCAACGAGGUAUUCAGGAGUUCCUGCGUGGCUCGGCUGGUUAAGAACCCGACAGGCAUCCAUGAGGAUGUGGGUUCAACUCCGGCCUCGCCCAGGGGGUUAGGCUGCAGCGCAGGUCGCUGGUGCUGCGCAGAUCCAGUGUGGCUGUGGCUGUCGCGCCGGCCGGGGCUGCAGCUCCCAUUCGACCCCUAGCCUGGGAGCGUCCAUUCGCCCCGGGUGUGACACACAAAAAAAAGCAAAAGCAAAAGAAAAUAAGAAGGAAAUUCCGACAUAUGCCACAGCAUGAAGGAACCUUGGAGACACUGUGCUUAGUGAGACGAGCCAGAGCAGCCGUGGCGCUCGCGCGGCGCAGAACUGAGAUGGACGGGGGCAGCGGCUGUGGGAGGGGAGCCGGGCAGCGAGCGUUUAGCAGGUACAGAGGUUCAGUUUUGCGAGAUGGAAACCAAGCGCUCUGGAGGCGGGAGGCGUGGAUGGCCCCGCGGCCCUGCGAUGUGCCUCACGCCGCCGUCGGCCUGCUCACCUAAACAGGGUGAGGGGGGUACAUUUUUUUUCCUUCUUUGUAGGGCCACCCCUGCAGGCCUGCACCACAGCCACAGCAAGGCCAGAUCAGCCUCGCAUCUGAGAGCCACGCCGCCGCCAGCAGCCACGCGGGAUCCUCAACCCACUGAUCGCGGCCAGGGGUGGAGCCUGCAUCCUCUUGGAUACUAGCUGGGUUCUUAACCCACUGAGCCCCAACGGGAAUGCCUACGAGGGCACAUUUUAUGUUUUGGGUAUUCUACCACAAUUUUAAAAAAGAAACCUCGCAGUCAAAACCAACAACAAUGAACAAGGCAAUGACACCCUGAGCCGGCAAGAGUUGGGGGUGAGUGGACCCCUUUACAUCAGGCUGGUGGGUACCAGUAGGCACAGCCUUUGCGGCAGCACCGGAGGCAGAUGCCCUCUGACCCAGCCACCUGGGAAUCCGGGCAGUGUGAAAAUGGGCAAGGCUGGCUUGCCUGCCUGCGUGGGGGCCACCAGGACUCUGUAACGAGCAAAGAGUAGAGGCUGGGGCGUAGUGAGGACCCAUGGGGUGUCACCUGCAGUGACAACAGAGCAUUUCACAGUCAGGAGAAGGUGGCUCCUUUCUAGAAAUAUAAAUGGCAUUUUAAUGCCAGGGUGGAAAAAUUGUAAUUAACUCCCACUUUAAUUCAUUGCUGAAAAUGGUAUCUAUAAACUCUUCAACUAAGAUAUUUAAUUACCUAUUUAAGAAAUAACUUGUUUGAGAAAGAAAGGAUAGAAAACAGUACGUGAUUAAUGGUUCCAGUUUUGACCAAAGAUCAUUCAUUCACUAAGACAGACUCUAGAAAAUCUCACAAACAUCAAAGCCACAAAUUCAAGCCAUAUAUGUAAC
rnacentral:lncRNA from 1 species